CGGGGACAACAUUCCGAAAGGAGUGCUAAUACCGCAUAAGACCACGGCUCCGAAAGGAGCAGAGGUAAAAGCUGGCCUCUGUAUACAAGCUAGCACUUGAGGAUGGGCCCGCGGCGCAUCAGCUAGUUGGCGAGGUAAUGGCUCACCAAGGCGACGACGGGUAGCUGGUCUGAGAGGAUGGCCAGCCACAUUGGGACUGAGAAACGGCCCAG
rnacentral:rRNA from 1 species